GAGAGGGUGCAGGAUAUGUAUGCAGAGGCUGGAGGGGGCAGACCGUUCAUCCUUACGGGAUAGGUUUAAAAUGUUGGUCUCAGCAUUUUGUGUUGGUCGAGACCCUGCACGGUUUAUGCAAGGAGCUACUGGAACUGUUUUGAAUUUGGAAGCAAAUGCUCUGGCUGCUCUGCAGAGAUGUGGCUGGAGAAGAGCCAGGGAUGGUGCAGGGAGGUUGUUUCAUUGUUUAGGCAAAGGGCAGUGAUGGUGGCUCAGACCAGGAUGGGAGCAGUGGUGGUGGAGAGGAGGGGAUGGAAAGGGGUGCCAUUUGGAAGGUAAAACACAGAGGAUGUAGUGCUGGAUACACGUAGGGAUGAACGAGGAGGAAGCAUGAAUGGCUGCCAGCCCAGAAAAGGACCCUGCUUAGUUUCAGCGCUUUCCUGUGUGAAUAGCAGCCGAGAUGGCCUGAACCCCUUGAGGCCACCAGGUGUCUGGACAGUCAUUUUCACACCAACACCUCCUGGCAACAUACUAGACACUGUCCUUGAGGACCAGCUGAGUGUGUGGCCAUUUGACAUGGCACAGGAUCCUCCCACAAUGUCUCCUCCGAGGAGUGCGAUUCUUCUGUUCAAAUUUUAAGUGUCAUUUUCAGUUUUCCUUUUUUUUUUGUUACAGAUCUCCUGUGGUCAGAGAUUGCACUCACUCCCUGGGGAACAGGAAACCAGUCGCCUAUUCCACCUUGGGUGUGCACGCACACGUGUGUGCCUGUUCCCCAGCGCGUGCGUGCGUGCGUGUGGCCAACAUAUAUAUGGACAGUACUAAUAUACAUCUUUUCAUUCUUAUUUUUAUAAAGCAUUAAAAAUGGCUAAGCUAAGUUUUCUUCUUUACUCUUCUCAUCUACACAGAUUAAAUUGAAAACCUUAGCAUGGACAAUUUAGAUAGACCAGCCUGCAGGCACAAAUUUCCUGACCACUUCACAAGUUUGAUUGCAUUAAGCCAAAUGCAGAGUUGCUUCCUCAUGGCUCCAAGCAAGAGCUCAACACUACCUGCAGCAAGAAGAGACCCGUCCUCAGAGAGUGCCAGGAACCGCACAGCUUCUGGAAGCUUCUCCAGCAGGCUGUCUCCUUUGGAGGAAACCUGUGCAGAAUCAAGGAUGCCCAUCAAGCAUUUCCACAUGGCUCAGGGGUCAGGAUCAAGAGCAGAGACCUUGACUCUAACCUGCUAGAGGAUGAGAGACUACAAGGAGCAGAACUGAGUUGUCUCAUUUGAGAAUAUCCUGGACAAGCCACCUCUCAGAUGCCCCCCUGACCACAUAAGCAUGAGCAAGUCCAGCUGAGACCAGAAGAGCCGCCCAGCUCAGCCCAGCCUGAAUUGCCAACCUACAGAAGGACACAGGUCAGCAAACUUCCUCUGUAAGGGCCAGACCAUCUUUUCUGCCUUGCGGACCAGACCGCCUCUCUCAAAACUACUUACAGCUGGACAGCAGCCAGGGGCAAUAUGUAAAUGAGUGGAUAUAGCUGAGGGCCAAUAAAGCUUUAUUUAUAAAAAUCA